rnacentral:rRNA from 1 species
AUACGGAGGGUGCAAACGUUGCUCGGAAUUAUUGGGCGUAAAGCGCGUGUAGGCGGUCGGCUAAGUCGGAUGUGAAAGCCCCGGGCUCAACCCGGGAAGUGCGUCCGAUACUGGCAGACUUGAGUACGGGAGAGGGUAGCGGAAUUCCCGGUGUAGAGGUGAAAUUCGUAGAUAUCGGGAGGAACACCAGUGGCGAAGGCGGCUACCUGGACCGAUUCUGACGCUGAGACGCGAAAGCGUGGGGAGCAAACAGGAUUAGAAACCCGAGUAGUCC